CUCAGCCUGCCUUGUCGACGGUGCCUCCAGUUCUUCCUCGGCUACCUGCCGACAAUAAUAAAGGAUUAGAGGCAGCCGUGCGGGAUGAGGCUGUGGCUGCCACCUUGCGCAAGCACCUCCUGCAAAUAGGAGGGAAGUCACUGCGCGAGGUGGCAUCGUAUGCCAUGAAGGCUGUAAUGGCGCACCCCGUCCAAGUGCUUUACAGCCUUCAUAGCAGGAAGGGGAAGAGGGCAUUCAUCAAUUUGAAGUUAUGCCGGAUAGUCACAGAUGUCAUCUGUGCGAAAGGGGGGGGGGGCGACCUGACACAAGCACAGGACUUCAUUAAGUGGUUCCCAGGGUCUGUGGACAGCGGUGGUGGCAGGAAGAGGCGUUUCACAGAAACGUUUGCAGCAGAGCAGCCCGAUGAUC